rnacentral:lncRNA from 1 species
CCCUUCCUUCGGCCCCGCCCAGCCCCGCCGGCCGCCCGCUCCCUGGGGAACCGAGGGAGGAAUGGGCGGGGUCCUCAGGUGCCCGGCGACGUCAUCCAGCCCCCAAGGCUCCAGGACGCAAAGGGUCCCCUGAUCUGGCAGUCCCUGGACCUACCCUGGAGAGCGUGGGGGGACAAAGGCCGGACGCGCCGCCCGCUGCCGCCUCCAGGAAGCCCUCCCUUGCCAGGACAGUGGAGUUGGCCGGGUGUGGACAGCAGGAAGGGCCGGCGGGAAGGGGGGGUGGAAAGAGCCACUCCUGGUUAAUAACUCUGCGGGGUUAACCUAGGGCCGGCCAUACUCAAGUACGGACUUGAGUAAAAUUCAGCAGGAAAAGGAGCAGGGUGGGCGCCGCUAGAGGGAGGCUUCAGGACUGAGGGUCAGAGGCCCAAGGCCUGGCAGGGCCCUUCCCUGGUCAGCUCCAGGCUUGGCCUGAUGCCCGGUGGGCCACGGGCCUCUUCCAGCCUCAGGCUGACCCCAGAGAAAGAGGACAGCCCACAAGCCCGGGAGGCCGGCUUGCUGCCUGGUCAUUGCUGCAGAGCCUGGAGGGGGCCUGCGCUCAGUCCCCGCUGACCGUCCCCUCCCUUGACCCUGCCAUAGCCAUCUGUGUAACCCAGGGGAAAUUAUUCCAAAGGGACUUCCACUUCUGAUAAUCUAUGAUUCUAUUUUCUAAAAAACAAAACUCUAAAAUGCUUAAUGUCAAACAUCUGUCAUCAGCUGAACAGGAAAAGGAACAGUAAGUACAAAGCAAGGCAACAUCAGAAAAGGGAGCCCUGAGGAAUUUCUCCCUCCUUCCCUGAGCCGGGUGAGGCCGUGACUGCAGCCUGACUCACAGGUUUUAUUUCACUUAUUAACCUAAAGAUGGUGAGGAUCUGCUGGUUCUCCCCCAGGCCUGGAGGCUGCCUACCAUCGGUGGCUCUCAUCGGUCCUUCCAAAGUGCCUACGGAAAGCUUUGUCCCAUCCUUGAAAAAUUGCUAAUGGGUUUGGAGAUACGAGGUGGAGAUGACUAGCAAUCAAACUCAAAGGUGGAAGUCACAUCGAGGCAGAUGAGCAGAUGAGGGGACCUAGAGAAGAAGAGAGGUGCAAGGAGAGCCCAGCCAGCAGGAACAUCUGCCCCAGUAGGCAGCACUGCCCCACAUCAGAGUCGAGGAAAGCAAAGCUCGGAUUGGAUAAAAGAAACUUGCAAACACGGUCAGUGCUUACUGCAUGUGGGCUCAGAGCACGUUACCCUCCUUCCCUGCAUGUUCCUGUGAAACGGGUUUACUGCUCUAACUCUCAGGGACACUGUGAAGACCAAACGAGAAAAUAGAAACAAACAUAAUUUAUAAACCAUAAAGUACUGACACCAAAAGAGGGGCGAGCACAGCAUUGUGAAUGUGCUGGUACUAAAUGGUUUGUUUUAAGAUGAUUUUAUGGUGUGUGAAUUUCACUUGAAUAAAUUUUUUUAAUGGAGUUCAUGGGGACGCUGCAGGAUGUCAAUUAACUUUGGACAUUUUAGCAGCGCUUUAGGUGUUAAAAUUAUUUUUUAAAAAAUACAGGAUGAAGGGAAAAGCUUCAUGACAUUGGAUUUGGCAGUGAUUCCUUGGAUAUGACCCCAAAAGCACAGAUAACGAAAGAAAAAAUAGUUAAAUUGUCUUCAUCAAAAUUAAAACUUUUGUACAUCAAAGAACUCUUUCAAAAGAGUGAAAAAGUCACAGAAUAAGAGAAAAUCAUAUACCUGAUAAAGAAUUAAUAUUCAGAGCCAGAUGCAGUGGCUCAUGCCUGUAAUCCCAGCACUUUGGGAGGCCAAGGCAGGCAGAUCACUUGAGAUCAGGAGUUCGAGACAAGCCUGGCUAAAAUGGUGAAACCCCAGCUCUACUAAAAAUACAAAAAUUAGCCAGGCGUGGUGGCGUGCACCUGGAAUCCCAGCUAUUCGGGAGGCUGAGGCAGGAGAAUCGCUUGAACUCAGAAGGCAGAGGUUGCAGUGAGCCAAGAUCACACCACUGCACUCCAGCCUGGGCGACAAAGUGAGACUCCAUCUCAAAAAAACAAAACAAAACAAAACAAAACAAAGAGUUACUAUUCAGAAUAUAUUAAGAAUUCCUACAACUCAACAACAAAAAAAAAUCCAACCCAAUUAAAAAAUGGGCAACAGACCCAAAUAGACAUUUCUUAGAAGACACACAAAUGGCCAAUAAGCUCAUGAAAACAUGUUUAACAUCACUAAUCAUUAGGGAAAUGCAAAUCAAAGCUAAAAUGAGAUACCACGUCACACUCAUUAGGUGUUAUUUUUUAAAAAUAACACAACAACAAAAAAUAAGAAAUGUGGGCGAGGAUGUGAAGAAAUUGAAACCCUUGUGGACUGUUGUUGGGGAUGUAAAAUGGCGCAGCUGCUGGGGAAAACAGUAUGGGAGUUCCUCACAAAACUAAACAGAAUUGCCAAACGACCCAGCGAUCCUGCCUCUGACAUAUACUGGAAAGAACUGAAAUAAGGCGCUGGAACAGACACUUGUAACCCAUGUUCACAGCUGAGCCAAAAGGUGGGAGUAACCCAAAUGUCCAUCAGUGGAUGAAUACUGGCAAUAAAAGCUGUGUCUGGAGGCCACUCCGUUUCACACAGCUCUCCACACGGGUGAGGGCACAGCCUUCUCGUCUCUUUCCUAUGCUGCAUCUUCAGAGCUAGCUAUGAUAUGAUAUGAUGUGAUAUGUACAUAUCGAAUAUACAUGUUUUACAUGCAAA